GACGAACGCUGGCGGCGUGCUUAACACAUGCAAGUCGUACGGUAAGGCCCUUUCGGGGGUACACGAGUGGCGAACGGGUGAGUAACACGUGAGUAACCUGCCCACAACUUUGGGAUAACGCUAGGAAACUGGUGCUAAUACUGGAUAUGUGCUCCUGCUGCAUGGUGGGGGUUGGAAAGCUCCGGCGGUGGUGGAUGGACUCGCGGCCUAUCAGCUUGUUGGUGGGGUAGUGGCCUACCAAGGCGGCGACGGGUAGCCGGCCUGAGAGGGUGACCGGCCACAUUGGGACUGAGAUACGGCCCAGACUCCUACGGGAGGCAGCAGUGGGGAAUAUUGCACAAUGGGCGCAAGCCUGAUGCAGCAACGCCGCGUGCGGGAUGACGGCCUUCGGGUUGUAAACCGCUUUCAGCAGGGACGAAGCUUUUUGUGACGGUACCUGCAGAAGAAGCACCGGCUAACUACGUG
rnacentral:rRNA from 1 species